AGAGGUUACUGCUAUCGGAGUUCGAUUAAGCCAUGCGAGUCUAAAGGUUUCUUCGGAAACCUUGGCGGACUGCUCAGUAACACGUGGAUAACCUACCCUUGGGACCGGAAUAACCCCGGGAAACUGGGGAUAAUACCGGAUAGAUCAGGGAUGCUGGAAUGCACCUUGAUCCAAAGCUCCGGCGCCCAAGGAUGGGUCUGCGGCCUAUCAGGUAGUAGUGGGUGUAACGUACCUACUAGCCAACGACGGGUACGGGUUGUGAGAGCAAGAGCCCGGAGAUGGAUUCUGAGACACGAAUCCAGGCCCUACGGGGUGCAGCAGGCGCGAAACCUUUACAAUGUGCGAAAGCAUGAUAAGGGAACUCCGAGUGCCAGUAUCUAAUACUGGCUGUCCUUGUGCCUAAAACGCACAAGAUAGCAAGGGCCGGGUAAGACCGGUGCCAGCCGCCGCGGUAACACCGGCGGCCCGAGUGGUAGCCGCUAUUAUUGGGUCUAAAGGGUCCGUAGCCGGUUCGAUAAGUCCUCUGGGAAAUCUGGUUGCUUAACAAUCAGACUGCCAAGGGAUACUGUCGAACUUGAGACCGGGAGAGGUAAGAGGUACUUCAGGGGUAGGAGUGAAAUCUUGUAAUCCCUGGGGGACCAUCUGUGGCGAANGCGUCUUACCAGAACGGGUCUGACGGUGAGGGACGAAAGCUGGGGGCGCAAACCGGAUUAGAUACCCGGGUAGUCCCAGCCGUAAACGAUGCUCGCUAUGUGUCANGUAUGGUGUGACCGUAUCUGGUGCCGUNNGGAAGCCGUGAAGCGAGCCACCUGGGGAAGUACGGUCGCAAGACUGAAACUUAA
rnacentral:rRNA from 1 species